GCCAGGCGUGGUGGUGCGUGCCUGUAAUCCCAGCUACUUGGAGGCUGAGGCUGGGGAAUCGCUUGAACCCGGGAGGCGGAGGUUGCAGUGAGCCAAGAUUGUGCCGCUGCACUCCAGCCUGGUGACAAAGCGAGACUCCGUCUCAA
ensembl:misc_RNA Metazoa_SRP Metazoan signal recognition particle RNA